ensembl:snoRNA small nucleolar RNA SNORA17
CCUGCCCCUUGAAGUGUCCCCUGUGUGGCUGCUAUGUCACACGUGCGUCAUUAGGUAGCUGAGAAGAGAGAGGCUAUGUCUACACAUAGUGUUCUGACCUGUGAACCUUUGAAUGAUUAGUAGCCAAACAAA